rnacentral:rRNA from 1 species
CCUACGGGGGGCUGCAGUGGGGAAUAUUGGACAAUGGGGGCAACCCUGAUCCAGCCAUGCCGCGUGUGUGAAGAAGGCCCUCGGGUUGUAAAGCACUUUCAGUGAGGAAGAACGCCUGGUGGUUAAUACCCAUCAGGAAAGACAUCACUCACAGAAGAAGCACCGGCUAACUCCGUGCCAGCAGCCGCGGUAAUACGGAGGGUGCGAGCGUUAAUCGGAAUUACUGGGCGUAAAGCGCGCGUAGGUGGCUUGAUAAGCCGGUUGUGAAAGCCCCGGGCUCAACCUGGGAACCGCAUCCGGAACUGUCAAGCUAGAGUGCAGGAGAGGAAGGUAGAAUUCCCGGUGUAGCGGUGAAAUGCGUAGAGAUCGGGAGGAAUACCAGUGGCGAAGGCGGCCUUCUGGACUGACACUGACACUGAGGUGCGAAAGCGUGGGUAGCAAACAGGAUUAGAUACCCCGGUAGUC